rnacentral:tRNA from 1 species
GGAGAGAUGUCCGAGUGGUUUAUGGAGCCAGUCUUGAAAACUGGUGAUGCCCCAAAGGCACCGGGGGUUCAAAUCCCUCUCUCUCCGCCA